rnacentral:rRNA from 1 species
UGCUAGCGUUGUUCGGAAUCACUGGGCGUAAAGGGCGUGUAGGCGGUCUGUUAAGUCUGAUGUGAAAUCCCGAGGCUCAACCUCGGGCCUGCAGUGGGUACGGGCAGACUGGAGUGCGGUAGGGGAGAAUGGAAUUCCUGGUGUAGCGGUGGAAUGCGCAGAUAUCAGGAGGAACACCGAUGGCGAAGGCAGUUCUCUGGGCCGUAACUGACGCUGAGGAGCGAAAGCGUGGGGAGCGAACAGG